UCCCGCCUCUAGACCAACUUAGUUGUGAGAAAGUCUGUAUCUUUAGAGGAGGUAGCCAUAUGACUGUAUCAUUUAUUGAUAUUCUCCUAAUUAGUGAUUAACUGACGGUUCUUAGCAGGAUUGGGCUAAAUGCUGAAAUAAAAACCUGAGGUGAAGAACUAUCUUUCCCUGCAGUAGAAGUCCAUGUGAGAGGAGAGAGCUGUAUGAUACUAGAAGGACAAGACACCAAUAAGGGGCUCACAGCAGGUGGGCUUUUCUCCUAUCCAGAGCACCAACUGAAACAGACAGAAUGAACAGAGCACGAGGACUGUGUUUCACUUUACUACUACUGGGGUGUGUACAUGGGAGCAAGUCUCCUCAAAGAGAAGUGGUAUUCAGUAGAGGGAUCCAACUCUUUGUUGAAGGUUUGAACCCUUCUAAUCCCUCUGUAGUAAUCCUCUCCUCAUUUGGGCACAACCCUGGUGCCUCACCUACACUGGUGUGUAUACUCAGUGGUUUAAAAACACACCAUUUGUUGGACAUCAUUUGGUGGAUCAACAACACAGUGGUAACCCCUGAGAACAAUGCCAUUUGGAGUUCCAGGGGAAGUGAUGGCACGUACACAACUACCGGACUGUGGACUAUGUCUGGAAAGGACUGGAAUCCCUAUAGUAACUAUGAGUGUGGAACCAGACAUGAAGGAAAGCAUUAUAGAAAUGGUACACAGCCCUCACUUUGCAUGGAUUUUACUUGAUUACAAAUAUUUGUUAACCUAUCAAAAAUUAUCCUUAGCAUUUCAUGUACAAUCUUUACUAUUAUUAAAGUAUUCAUGAUGUUUCUUGAGUAUUUUAUUGAAAGAUCAGGUAGCCUAGUGGUUAGAGCUUUGGAAUAGUAACUGAAAGGUUGCAAGUUCAAAUCCCUGAGUUGACAAGGUACAAAUCUGUUGUUCUUCCCCUUAAGAGACAGUUAACCCACUGUUCCUAGGCUGUCACUGAAAAUAAGAA